rnacentral:rRNA from 1 species
UGGGGAAUCUUGCGCAAUGCGCGAAAGCGUGACGCAGCAACGCCGCGUGCGGGAAGACGGCCUUCGGGUUGUAAACCGCUUUCAGUUGGGACGAAGCCGUUGCGGUUAAUAGCCGUGGAUGGUGACGGUACCUUCAGAAGAAGCCCCGGCUAACUACGUGCCAGCAGCCGCGGUAAUACGUAGGGGGCAAGCGUUGUCCGGAAUCAUUGGGCGUAAAGCGCGUGUAGGCGGCUCAGUAAGUCCGCUCUGAAAGCCCGGGGCUCAACCCCGGGAGGCGGGUGGAUACUGCUGAGCUCGAGUCCGGAAGAGGAGUGUGGAAUUCCUGGUGUAGCGGUGAAAUGCGCAGAUAUCAGGAGGAACACCAAUGGCGAAGGCAGCACUCUGGGACGGUACUGACGCUGAGACGCGAAAGCGUGGGGAGCAAACA